GACGAACGCUGGCGGCGUGCCUAAUACAUGCAAGUAGAACGCACAGUUUAUACCGUAGCUUGCUACACCAUAGACUGUGAGUUGCGAACGGGUGAGUAACGCGUAGGUAACCUGCCUGGUAGCGGGGGAUAACUAUUGGAAACGAUAGCUAAUACCGCAUAAUAUUGAUUAUUGCAUGAUAAUUGAUUGAAAGAUGCUAUUGCAUCACUACCAGAUGGACCUGCGUUGUAUUAGCUAGUAGGUGAGGUAACGGCUCACCUAGGCGACGAUACAUAGCCGACCUGAGAGGGUGAUCGGCCACACUGGGACUGAGACACGGCCCAGACUCCUACGGGAGGCAGCAGUAGGGAAUCUUCGGCAAUGGACGAAAGUCUGACCGAGCAACGCCGCGUGAGUGAAGAAGGUUUUCGGAUCGUAAAGCUCUGUUGUAAGAGAAGAACGGGUGUGAGAGUGGAAAGUUCACACUGUGACGGUAUCUUACCAGAAAGGGACGGCUAACUAAGUG
rnacentral:rRNA from 1 species